rnacentral:rRNA from 1 species
UACGUAGGGUGCAAGCGUUGUCCGGAAUUAUUGGGCGUAAAGAGCUCGUAGGCGGUUUGUCGCGUCUGCUGUGAAAUCCCGAGGCUCAACCUCGGGCCUGCAGUGGGUACGGGCAGACUAGAGUGCGGUAGGGGAGAUUGGAACUCCCGGUGUAGCGGUGGAAUGCGCAGAUAUCGGGAGGAACACCCGUGGCGAAGGCGGCACUCUGGGACGGUACUGACGCUGAGACGCGAAAGCGUGGGGAGCAAACAGG